rnacentral:rRNA from 1 species
GACGAACGCUGGCGGCGUGCUUAACACAUGCAAGUCGAACGGAAAGGCCCCUUCGGGGGUACUCGAGUGGCGAACAGGUGAGUAACACGUGAGUAACCUGCCCUUGACUUCGGGAUAACUUCAGGAAACUGGGGCUAAUACCGGAUAGGAAUCCUUGCUGCAUGGUGGGGGUUGGAAAGCUUCGGCGGUUUUGGAUGGACUCGCGGCUUAUCAGCUUGUUGGUGGGGUAGUGGCUUACCAAGGCUUUGACGGGUAGCCGGCCUGAGAGGGCGACCGGCCACAUUGGGACUGAGAUACGGCCCAGACUCCUACGGGAGGCAGCAGUGGGGAAUAUUGCACAAUGGGCGGAAGCCUGAUGCAGCAACGCCGCGUGCGGGAUGACGGCAUUCGGGUUGUAAACCGCUUUCAGCAGGGGCGAAGCUUGUGGUGACGGUACCUGCAGAAGAAGCACCGGCUAACUACGUG